GAUGAACGCUGGCGGCGUGCCUAAUACAUGCAAGUCGAGCGAACAGACGAGGAGCUUGCUCCUCUGACGUUAGCGGCGGACGGGUGAGUAACACGUGGAUAACCUACCUAUAAGACUGGGAUAACUUCGGGAAACCGGAGCUAAUACCGGAUAAUAUAUUGAACCGCAUGGUUCAAUAGUGAAAGACGGUUUUGCUGUCACUUAUAGAUGGAUCCGCGCCGCAUUAGCUAGUUGGUAAGGUAACGGCUUACCAAGGCGACGAUGCGUAACCGACCUGAGAGGGUGAUCGGCCACACUGGAACUGAGACACGGUCCAGACUCCUACGGGAGGCAGCAGUAGGGAAUCUUCCGCAAUGGGCGAAAGCUUGACGGAGCAACGCCGCGUGAGUGAUGAAGGUCUUCGGAUCGUAAAACUCUGUUAUUAGGGAAGAACAAAUGUGUAAGUAACUAUGCACGUCUUGACGGUACCUAAUCAGAAAGCCACGGCUAACUACGUG
rnacentral:rRNA from 1 species